UCUUCCGUAGUAUAGGGGUCAGUAUAUCUGUCAAGUUCGGCAUCGCUCGGGACCCGGGUUCAAUUCCCGGCGGGAGAG